GAUGAACGCUGGCGGCGUGCCUAAUACAUGCAAGUCGAGCGAACAGAUGAGGAGCUUGCUCCUCUGACGUUAGCGGCGGACGGGUGAGUAACACGUGGAUAACCUACCUAUAAGACUGGGAUAACUUCGGGAAACCGGAGCUAAUACCGGAUAAUAUAUUGAACCGCAUGGUUCAAUAGUGAAAGACGGUUUUGCUGUCACUUAUAGAUGGAUCCGCGCCGCAUUAGCUAGUUGGUAAGGUAACGGCUUACCAAGGCAACGAUGCGUAGCCGACCUGAGAGGGGGAUCGGCCACCCUGGAACUGAGACACGGUCCAGACCCCCACGGGAGGCAGCAGUAGGGAAUCUUCCGCAAUGGGCGAAAGCCUGACGGAGCAACGCCGCGUGAGUGAUGAAGGUCUUCGGAUCGUAAAACUCUGUUAUUAGGGAAAAACAAAUGUGUAAGUAACUAUGCACGUCUUGACGGGACCUAAUCAGAAAGCCACGGCUAACUACGU
rnacentral:rRNA from 1 species